rnacentral:rRNA from 1 species
CCUACGGGAGGCAGCAGUGGGGAAUUUUGGACAAUGGGCGAAAGCCUGAUCCAGCAAUGCCGCGUGUGUGAAGAAGGCCUUCGGGUUGUAAAGCACUUUUGUCCGGAAAGAAAUCCUUGACUCUAAUACAGUCGGGGGAUGACGGUACCGGAAGAAUAAGCACCGGCUAACUACGUGCCAGCAGCCGCGGUAAUACGUAGGGUGCGAGCGUUAAUCGGAAUUACUGGGCGUAAAGCGUGCGCAGGCGGUUUGUUAAGACCGAUGUGAAAUCCCCGGGCUCAACCUGGGAACUGCAUUGGCGACUGGCAGGCUAGAGUAUGGCAGAGGGGGGUAGAAUUCCACGUGUAGCAGUGAAAUGCGUAGAGAUGUGGAGGAAUACCGAUGGCGAAGGCAGCCCCCUGGGCCAAUACUGACGCUCAUGCACGAAAGCGUGGGGAGCAAACAGGAUUAGAUACCCUGGUAGUCCACGCCCUAAACGAUGUCAACUAGUUGUUGGGGAUUCAUUUCCUUAGUAACGUAGCUAGCGCGUGAAGUUGACCGCCUGGGGAGUACGGUCGCAAGAUUAAAACUUCAAAGGAAUUGACGG